rnacentral:pre_miRNA from 1 species
AGUGAGAUAGCUGGGUCAAAUGGUGAUUCCAUUCCCAAAUUUCCAAGAAAUCUGUAUACUGCUUUCCAUAUUAGCUGCACCAAUUUGCAGUCCCAUCAGCAGU